UAAAGAAAGCGUAAUAGCUCACUGGUCGAGUCGGCCUGCGCGGAAGAUGUAACGGGGCUAAACCAUGCACCGAAGCUGCGGCAGCGACACUAUGUGUUGUUGGGUAGGGGAGCGUUCUGUAAGCCGUUGAAGGUGUGCUGUGAGGCAUGCUGGAGGUAUCAGAAGUGCGAAUGCUGACAUAAGUAACGAUAAAGCGGGUGAAAAGCCCGCUCGCCGGAAGACCAAGGGUUCCUGUUCAACGUUAAUCGGAGCAGG
rnacentral:rRNA from 1 species